rnacentral:rRNA from 1 species
AGUGAACGCUGGCGGCAGGCCUAACACAUGCAAGUCGAGCGGCAGCGGGUCCCCGCGAGGGGAUGCCGGCGAGCGGCGGACGGGUGAGGAACACAUCGGAAUCUGCCUGGUUGUGGGGGAUAACGUAGGGAAACUUACGCUAAUACCGCAUGCGACCCUGAGUCGACGGACUUGGGGUGAAAGUGAGGGACCUUCGGGCCUCACGCGACCAGAUGAACCGAUGUCGGAUUAGCAGUUGGCGGGGUAACGGCCCGCCAAGGCGACGAUCCGUAGCUGGUCUGAGAGGAUGAUCAGCCACACUGGGACUGAGACACGGCCCAGACUCCUACGGGAGGCAGCAGUGGGGAAUCUUGGACAAUGGGCGCAAGCCUGAUCCAGCCAUGCCGCGU